rnacentral:lncRNA from 10 species
CCCACUUCAGGUCCCCUCUUGUGUCAAGAGCUGUUCUGUUGUCUCUUCUCUGCCUUGCUUAUUCUCCAGUUGUCCAUGUAACCUCAUUCUUCUUGGACAUGGGACAAGAACCCAGUACCCACCAAAUGGCAGGUGCAAAAAAUGCUGUAACACUGUAGCCCUCCAACCCUCUGCUGGCACCAGGCUGUUGCUUCAUGUAACAGGAAGCAGUGGCAAUGGGGCCAGGCCAGCCAAGAAGCUAUGAGCUGGAAUGUGGGCAGCAGGACUGAACAAGCUGUAAAACAAAUGAGCUGAAACUUGCUGCCCUCCCACCCCCAUUCACUGUGCUGCAGGCAGUGGAAAGAAGAGAGAGAUGUAUCACUCCUUGAGGGCUCAGACCUCAGGACUCCCCAAGCAACUGUAACACCCCUUGGGCUCCACAGUUGCUGGCAUCUCUGAGUUUUCAGAAGCCACUGCAGCCUCCUUGUCCAGACACUGGCACCCAAGCAGAAAUGAUUCAAGACAGCACACCCGGACCAGUCAUGGACUGAGCACAGAGUUGGCAGGCACUGGAUCCAGGCCCAUAGCACAAGCUGAGUGCAAUCACUGGGCUGAGUGAGAGGAGUAAGCCUAGCAGAAAACCCAGUGCCAAGCAAAGCCUGAGCAAAGGCACCACUAGCCACAGAGCUUUCCUGCUGGCAAAGGAGCACCAAAAGAAUCCUGUGUCAUUUCUGGGGGUCAUCUGAGAUCUGCAAAAGGGUCACUAAAGGCAUCUAAGUGUCUUGGUUGAUUCUUCUGAACUAAGCCACUUAGUUCAUUGAGUCUCUCCUUUCUGCAGGAAGGCUAUUGGUUUAAAGAAAAAGUCUUACCACUCAAAAAUAUGAGUUGAUAAAGACAGUAAAAACCAUGUGUUAUCAUCUUUGUGCAGUUUACAAGACACUGUGCCCAUAAUAAUACAUUCUCAAUAAAGAAUAAAGGAAGGAAAAAUAUAAGAAAGGGAAGAAGAAAUGGUGAAAAAGAAUCAUAAAAACAAAGAUAAACUCAUGAAUCAAUAAAAGAGAGAAGAAAAGGGAAAAGUAAAAGAAGAAAAACAUAAAGAGGGAGGGGAAGAUCAUGAAAGACAAGAAAAAAGACGAAAGAUAAUUUUUUUCUAUAACACAACAGUAACAUGGCAAGGAAUUCUC